UGGAGAACACUAUUCGGGCGCCCACUCAAACUUGAGAUUCUGUCCACUCACAUUUUUCUAUUCAUGUGUAAAUAUAAUCCCUGCGCAGUCUAAAAUCAGUACCAUGACAUCGAUUUAAAGAGGGCAAAGUGCUUCUUCUUUUGAUCAUAGUGCGCGGUUUACCAGAUCGGAUCUACAGGUAAGCAACAUGUAUGUGUGUAGCGUUUCUCUUGGCAAGUGCUCGCUAGUCCCCCCCCCCCCCCCCAUGUAUAUACAUUUUUUGUACACGCCGUUGCUACACUGCAGGAGAAAACGAUUCCAUCUUUGUUCCAUUGACAGUAAUUCACAGUAUGUAGAGUCGGAUAAAAGCCCAUCUCGCCAUCUGGAGGUUGAGCGCAUGGACGUGCAUAUACACAACCACGGUUAAUUGGCUCAUUAAGUUACCUUGGUUCCACUUAGACAUAAAAUAAUAUUUAGCGUUCCAUCGCGGAUCACUGAUGCGAGCGCUGACCGAACCCAGAGCUCUGCGACCAGAGAGCGAGGCGGACCGCAUGGAAACGUGCUGCUUUUACAAACUCUGUUCGCUUCCCACGAAAGAGGAAACCUGUUUCUCAUAAAGCUGUGAUUUGUGCAAGAAAAACAGGCAAUCAUCAGCGAAUCCCACCCCGAAAAAAAAGAGAAAGAAAAGGAAAAGUAACACCGGUGCGUCUUCCCAAGUGUGGUGAAUCGCACAGGGCGCCCAAUCACAGCGACCUUCCUGUCAUUAGCACUCAUCAGCCUGGGCAUGUCCAGGCAUGGCUCUGGCCUGUCAGACGCACAACCUGGAGCCGGUCGCAGGCGGACUGAGGGGGAGGGUCAUGGGUAAUAAUGCAAAGGGUGUGUGUGUGAGACGGCUCGUGAUUGAUAACAGUGGCAGCAGAGGUUCUGGCGGGUUCUUCUUCAUAGAAAGCCAACUCUGCUCUCCCCCCAGAACAAGAUUCUUGUUCUUUUGUACAGUCGACUUUCACGUUGCAUAACGCAGUCCAAAACAGUUGUUUUGUGGUGUCAGGCGUCUUCUACACACUGCAUUCAGAUGAGAUGUUUUGAGAUGUUUUGGGAUUCGAGGUGAUGUCAAUUAUUUUAGUCUAUGCUUUAUUGUGACCACAUGUUUCCAGCUAACACCAGUUAUGAAUGGUUUCUUCACUACAUAGAGGUUAAGGCUGUUUCAAGGAAAUGUCCACAGCUUCACGAUGAACCGUGAUCCCACGUGUACAGAAUAUCGCUUCACUGCUACCACCAGAUCACUUCACACUUCUGCUCCUAAUCUUUACUUAUUGUUACUUAUCUUCACUUAUCUUUCGUUAUCUUUAUUUUACUACCUUACUUUAUCUUGUAUUAUUACUGCUAUGUGGCUGUUGCGGCUCCAUGGUAAAGAGAAGAUGAAGGCGAAGAAAAGGAAACAGAGGAAGACAAGGAAACAUCAGAGAGGGGGAGGAGGGUGUGGCUGGUUGGAGGUUGGUGGGGGGGUUGGAGGGGGUAAGGGGUAGGGUGUAGGACUUGGCACCCUGACCUCCGGCACUGUCAUGUAUUCUCACUGACAUCAUCAUUGUAAAAUUAGGAGCCCUGGUUUCAUCUUUCCUGCAGAUGUGGAAGCUUGAAAUUGCAUUCCGUGGGCCUGUGCCACAUUUCAUCAGUGAAUGUUCCCCUCACCGGCUCCAAGGGGGGAGGAACAGGCAGAAGGACGGGGGUCGGGAUGGUUAGGAGCCUCAACCCCCCCUCCCCCUCUCUACCCCUAUUGCCUCCCAGCCUUUUACUGCUUGGCACCCUCCAACACUAACCUCCCUCCCUGCACACACACUCACACACACACACGCACACACUCCCACAACACAACACAGUGUUUUGGCCGGAGCCAACCUCUGUUGCACUCCACAGCCUUCCAGCGCUGCGGCGCUGCGCGGGCUGGGCGACUCCCGGGCCGGACCCACACCUGCGGCUGAUAGAAUCCUUCUGGUAGUACAAAGCCCGUGAUUUACGGCCCCCGAGGAGCCCGGGGCCUCGUACAGCUGUGGACCGGCAGGAAAGGGAAGUUGUUCAUCACGCAGUGCGCGUUUUCACCAGCAAUCUUUGGCCACAAACGCCCAAACAGCCCGAGCCCGAGCAGAGAAUGUCACCGUAACGACAGGUGGUCGAUGGUGCCGGGGCACUUUGUAACACAUUAGCUAAAGGCUAAUAGCGAGCACGGCUGACGGCCGAUCUUAGGUGGCCGAGGAAAUCAGUGUGCAGCUCCCUGACUGACGGCGAAUGACAUGUGGGAUAUACUUUGAUCCAGUGAUCUUUCUUCGCCACUGUGCUUAAUUGUGUGUGUGUAUGUGUGGAUCUUUGGUCUUUGUGCUCGAGUGUGAAUUAUGUGACACACACAUCCAGUAACAAAUACUUUGGUUGCUUUUGUUUUACUCUCCAUUUUGACUUUUUCUAAGUCACGUUUCUGGUCUACGUUUUCACUUGAGGUUUUGCAUUAGAGACGCAGAACAGAAUUAGUUCUGGAGCCACGGCGGGGGAGCUCUGCCAGGAGGUGGUGAUGUUGAGAGAUGGAUUCCUGGAGAGGAGGUAGGGGCGGGGGUCAUCCAACACCACACCGGAUGAGAGUAGGGUUAGAGUGGGGGAGACACGGUGACAACCGCCUGUAUGGCUAUAGAUCUAAAUAUAAAAAAAUAAACCGCAAUGACAUCACAACAGCCUGGGUCUGAGUAAUGUUCCUCGUGCUGUCACAUGGGUUCCAUGAAGACGAGGUCAGACCUAAAUACGGGGGGGAGUGGUAGUUGAUCUGGACUUACAGGACGAUAGUGAUAGGGCUCGGAAUGUAUAUCCUGAAAAUGCGCACGUCUUGUUCCGAACCGAGUGAUUUAUUGACUCUGCAUUUAGUGUGUGGAUGGACCUGGAAUUCGGUGUAUCCUGGAAAUAUUAUUUCUCUUUCUGUUUUUUAGGGGGGGGGGAGACGUUGACAUGUUGAGCUCUUACACACAUGUGAGUUUGGAGCAGGAGCUUGGGACGCAGCGUCUAGUGGAACCAAUGCAUUCGGUCAGGCCUUUAAAAGCCAUUUCCAUACGGUACGUUGUGAAGACAAAACGCAUAUUUCUCUCAGGCCUGGAGGUACGCUGCAUUAGUAUAGACAGAUGAACGUAGCUAAAUCAUCUAAUGGCUGCCAUACAACAUUUAAUAGGUUACUAGUAUGUUUUUGUGGUUAUAUCACAACAAGAAUGUUCAUUGUUGUGUGUUUUGUUGUAUGUGUUACCAGCAAGUAAAACACAAUUUUGUAUAUUUCCCUCAUGACUUGAAGUCCUGGUAAACUCAUUGUAUUUACAUAUGUAUUAGCAUAUCGUGAACAUGUAUUAAGCUAAUGCUCCACAAAAGUUAGGAAUACACAAAAAAGCUAGAUUAACUGUUGAUAUUCAUAGCUUCCAUAUCCACUUUAUGCUGGACUUUUAGGCACGAAGGGCAGAGCAAACACAAGUUUUCUUCAUGUUAAUUACUCUCUGGUUAAAAUUUGCAGACAGUUACAAAUCCUAGUUUAUGCCAGUAGAGACCCUCGGAAAUGUUGACACUGAGAAUGAAAUGAGGCCUUCAUGUUAAUGCUGCACCACCACCCUCACACACACACACACACACACACACACACACACACACACACACACACACACACACACACACACACACACACACACACACACACACACACACACACACACACACACACACACACACACACACCCCACCACCACAGAACCUGGCAUGCAGUUCUCAGCUGCAGCUGUGUUGGAACGGCUUCUCUUGUUUGUGUACCCGAUGUUGUUUGGUUUUUUUUUGUCUUCUUGCUUUAGAGUUUUUAUUUGCACAUCCCCGAGCUCUGCAGCCAUGCCUCCCAGAGCCAGACCACCUGCAACAAUUAAAAGGAAGAAAAAAAAGAGAGAGAGAGAAGAAAUGGCCUGCUGGCUCAGCAGGGCUGCUGUGAUCAACACAGAAUUAUAUCAUAUGGAGGAGGGCUUGUUGUGCACAGCGUGUCUCAACCUUUUAAGGCCUCAUUCCCCCCCCCCCCCCCCCCUCCUCUGAAAGUAGAGUAGGGCCUACAUGGGAACUCGAAACUGUAGCCAAAUCAUGCAAGAUAGAAAUAAGGGAAGUUCAUGCCUUCUUUCUCAAGUGGGGUGAUUGGCCAGCUCUGCUUGCAGCAACCAUGGGUCGUUAUCUGGUAUACGCAGGUCUUGUGUUGCUUAUUUUAUGUUAUUAUAUUUUAUAUAUAAGACCAAUGUUGACAUGACAUUUUUAACCUUUCCAGAAAUGUUAUAUUUUCUGACUGUUACUAAUUCUACUAGUAUUACUAACUCCAUACAAAAAACUCCUUUACAAUACUGUUAUGAAGAAAAUGUAGUGGAUAUGUUGCUCUCAAACAACUUAGCUAUCCAUCACUUAAACUAUCCCACUGGUUUGACAAUCAAAACAGUAUUGCGGGGUACAGAUUCACAAUUGUGAAAGUGUAGCGAUAUUUUCAGACACUCCUAUAAAAUAUGUGGGGUUAUGUGUUAACAUUGCAGCGCUCCGGUCGGGGUGCAUUCUUUUGAAACGGUCUGCGUUCUCCAUGACUCCGUAGCUCUGUGCUGUGGGCGUGUCGGUGCGGAGGUCCACUGUGUGAUACGGUUUGUCAUCAAAACAUCUGUUUCACAAAGAUGGACUGGAGCGAAGCCAUGACAUUAUAGACUCAAGUGUAUCUCUCUUGCUCCCUCCAUUCCUCUCCCUCCCUCACUCUUUCUCUCCCUCAGUCUUUCUCUCUCACGUGCUCUCUCCCCCGCUUUCUCCUUCUCUCUCUCUUGCUCUCUCUCGGUGCCUCUCUCUCUUAACAUCAAAAGCUUUAAUUUCCUUCACCAGCCCUGAUUAUUCUGAGAAAAGGGAUUUCUGUGGUCGCUAAGGGUGUCACGAUAGGGACGAAGAGUCUACUACCACCACCUUUAGGACAAACCCAGGUGCUGCACGUCCUCUUUUGGGGCAAUUCACUCAGUAGUUCAGUCUACAACCCCUGCCCCUGGUACAUGAAAGGAGCAGGCCCAUUCUUACUGUUAUGAGCGACACCUGUGUGAUUAUCACAGGGUCUAAUUCUUCAUAUUGGCGCUCAACCUUGAUACAUUUAUACAUUAUGUGAUAGAAGAAGGAAAAUAAACAUGUUAUUUCACAACCUCUUUCCCCAUUGCCCUCUCUGCUAGGAGAUAAUCACAAUUCUCUGCUUUUCUAGGACCUUUCCACUCAUGGCGGCGUUGUUUUAUUGUUGUAUUUGACAGUAACCUUUUUGUUGUGCUAAACAUCCCAUCAGUCACUGUGUCAGACGAUGUGAGGCUGCAGAAUGCUACGAGAUGGCUCAAAUGUUUCGGACUGACCGCUUUCUCCAAAUGUUACCCAUUCCCAAUUCCGUCAUUUGUUAUCUUUGUUUUCUUUCUUUCUGUUAUUUUCCCUGAAGAUGGCAUUUUCAUUGGGUGGGGGAGGGGAUCUCACCAAAUGUGCCAAAACGGCCCAAAAUGCCACUGGUCAUCAUGAUAUAUAACAACUGUAUUGUUGUUAGGGUCAUCAGGAAACAACAAAUAAAACAGUUUUCCCCACAAAUGUUGACAGCAAACUAUCCAAACCUUGACAAAUUAACCAUUUAGUCCUCCUAAACAAACGACCCAGAAGCAUUUAUUGUUCAUCCACAUCUGAAGCCGAGCACUUCUUUAUGGUUUGGAAACUACAGAGGCGGUUUGAACAAUGUGAUUCAUCUUAAAACAACAGGAGGGUGGGCCUUUGUUGAAAUGCAUCUCACGUGUGUGUGUGUGUGUGUGUGUGUGUGUGUGUGUGUGUGUGUGUGUGUGUGUGUCUGUGUGUGUCUCUGCGUCUGUGUGUGUCUGUCUGUCUGUCUGUCUGUCUGUCUGUCUGUCUGUCUGUCUGUCUGUCUGUCUGUCUGUCUGUCUGUCUGUGUGUGUGUGUGUGUGUGUGUGUGUGUGUGUGUGUGUGUGUGUCUCUGUGGGGCUUUGAAGGAGUUUUGAUGAAUGUGACUUGUGCAAAUGUGCGUUUAAUAAAAUAAAUAAUGGUAGCUCCUUCUCCUCCAGCAGUGUUGGUCAUCUCUCCCUGUAGGAGUUCACCGUGAUCAAUCCAACAUGUGAUACCUCUCACAGCGACGUCCAGAAGAUGACAAAUGUUUCGGACGUGCUUCGUACAGUUUGUCAUCGGAGAUACCUAUAUGUUGUUGGGCCACUGCUUUAAAGAGGGGGUUUGUAUAUUUAUUUGUCUAUCCCUGGUGUUCACAAGUAAGAGAAAGACAUGUCGUGAUUACUUUAUUUAACAAAAAAGGACGCACGAUCCAAUAGGAAAUGGAUUAUGCGUAUGUAUGAGUUGCAAUUCUGUUGUAAGACAUUUUUCUCUCUGCCCUACUGUGCCUGUCCAUUUUGAGCCUCCAUUCCUCCCCCCAAACCUAAGGAUACACAGACACAGAGUCAUCCACGCACGCACAAAAGCACACACACAGAAACCUUGCCUUGUAUCUGUUCAGCCAGUCAGCUCCCUCCUGUCAUCUGCGCCAAUCACCAUCUGCCCCAAUUUACCACUAUUUAUUUCUAAUUGGGCCAAAAUUGAACUGCUGUCAGUGAUUAAAGUUGUUCCAAAAAGGAGGAACGAAUCUCUUUGCCCACGUCCAUUAUUAACUCAUUGAUUACAAUAAUGCGGGAAAUUGCCCAUUGGAGUCAAAUGUUAGCGGAGACACCUGGCCUGAACGCACCCACCAAAAAAAAAGAAGGAUAAAAUAGAAACCCACAGGAGCCGCGGGCCUUGUGAGUAACGGGAUGUGGCAGCUGCCGCUAACUCUACGGGGCCUGCCCCACCAAACGCCUCCUGUUUGACCAGGCUUCGUACCACUUCCUCUCUAGCGGCUGCUGGUGGGAUUUUUCCAUGUCGCCGAUGGACUUGCUUAAAAACAGUACCAUCAAAUAACUACAAAUGGACAUUGCUGUCAUCUUAAAUGAAGAAACAAGAUAUUAAAUAAAUGACAUCAGAUGGAUUCUUUAAUUAGAACUUUUGAGACGGACUUUCCCAGCUUUGUUUGAUUUGAUGUGGAUUUGAACUGGCGACCUUCCAUUCACACGCCUACUCCUCCUCCUCCUCCUCAAACUGACGACGGCAAUGCAACCAUCACUCCUGCCAUUCUCUCUACCCUCACAAACUUGGAUGAACAACAAUUUUCUCAAACUCAACUGCAAUAAAUCGGAAAUCAUCAUCAUUGAUGAUCACCAAAUUCCGUCUCCCCUCCACCCAAGACUUGUCACUAUGCAUUGAUGGACACACCGUCACUCCCUCCCCCUGGUCCAAAACCUUGGAGUCAUCCUGGA